GACGAACGCUGGCGGCGUGCUUAACACAUGCAAGUCGAACGGAAAGGCCCUGCUUUUGUGGGGUGCUCGAGUGGCGAACGGGUGAGUAACACGUGAGUAACCUGCCCUUGACUUUGGGAUAACUUCAGGAAACUGGGGCUAAUACCGGAUAGGAGCUCCUGCUGCAUGGUGGGGGUUGGAAAGUUUCGGCGGUUGGGGAUGGACUCGCGGCUUAUCAGCUUGUUGGUGGGGUAGUGGCUUACCAAGGCUUUGACGGGUAGCCGGCCUGAGAGGGUGACCGGCCACAUUGGGACUGAGAUACGGCCCAGACUGCUACGGGAGGGAGCAGAGGGAAAUACUGCACAAUGGGCGGAAGCCUGAUGAAGCAACGCCGCGUGCGGGAUGACGGCCUUCGGGUUGUAAACCGCAUUCGCCUGUGACGAAGCGUGAGUGACGGUAAUGGGUAAAGAAGCACCGGCUAACUACGUG
rnacentral:rRNA from 1 species